AUAUUGAAUUAUUCUAUAAGUUAUAAGCUGUAAAGUCAAGUGCCCAAAGGUUAAGAAACAACAAAUUUAAUUUGCUUUUUACACAUUAUUUUACUUGUAUAGGUAUAUUUUAUUCUAAAAAGCACCUAGCAAUUAGCCUGGAAGGUUAGAGGUUUUCUUUGCCUUCUCAUUCAGAGCAGAUCCAGGUCUCGUGUGUCAGCAGUCACACCUCAGGCCGUGUAUAGUCUUAGUAAUGAUUUAAUGGUUCUCUAAUCAGAAUUGUUUAUAUAUUUUUGCAAGGGAAGGACUGAUACCCCAUUAGUAUUACAAAUUAGUAGUUCAUAGGUUACAGGGUUGAAACAGAAACCUCCAAGAACACUAAGGAAAAGACAAAAAGCACGUAUGUAAUGCUUAUAUUUGUAGACUUGUCUGUACUGCAGAAAACAGGGUGUGGUACAGUGCAAUUAAAUUAAUACUGCAGUUAGUCUUUGUACCACUGUUUCUUAGAUUUAACCUUGCCACCUACAUCCACAUAAAUGGCAGAGAUAUGUAUUCACGUAAGUCAGUAAAAAUCACAUCAUUAAAAACACAUUUGUCUGCUCUUUAUUGUAGACCAUUGUCACAAAACUCAUCUUAAUUUGGGGUGUUCUCUGAGCUGUUGUUUGAGGCUUACCUUUUUUACCUUUUACAACAAAUAGGUUUUCAGUCCCUUCUGUGGCUCUUCUUGAGUUACUUUUUUUUUUUUUUAAUUUAAUAUAAAUCUGAGAGUCUUUCCCUGCCAGCACAGUUGGAGGAAGGUCAAAAGUAGAAUUUAUGCAUAACGAGAACAGUGUCCAAAGAUCAGAUGAGCUGAGGCCAGGUUUUCUGCUUUUGUACAGCUUACUUCCCCACCCCCCAAAAACAAACAAAGUGUUGACUGCCAAAUCAGAGCACAACAUACAAGUCCUCCUUCUGUUGUGAAAUGCCGUGGUUCUUCAUCAUGUAUCACAGGGGUAGGAAUCAAAGAGAGCUCUGCACGAAGGGCUGGUUAAUACAAGAUGUCAUCUGGCUGCAGUUGUCUCUUCUCAUCUGUGUAUCUUCAAAUGCAGUGACAGUUGCAGUGUUCCAUAAUUUUUGGGGGGCUCUCUUUGUUUUUCUAGAAGCAGUGACUUCUGCCUAGGUAUAAUUAGGCUUUUGUUUUACAUAAUGGAUAAAACCAAGCAAACAAUGAAAAACAACAAUGCAAAAAACCCACAACCCUUUGUGAGUAAAAGCAAAGAGAAUACAUGACUUGAGACUUGAAGUGGUAGGGCAUUCUGGUGAUGGGGUCUCAGAGGAUUGCUUAAUGAGUUGCUUUUUUUUUUCCCCCCCUUCAUUCUUUUAAAAGGGUUAAUUGGGCCAGGAAAUAAAUGCCUGAAGUGGUAUCUUUUUGGGUUUGUAUGAUUCCAAAAAAAAUCAAUAGACCUUGAUUUUGGAAUCUGCAAAUGGUGUGAGUCCUCACAUUUUCUUUGAACUAUUCGGUCUUCUUGUAAGUAAGUCUGUUUAGACACAGGAGACAGCGACAACUAUCUGUGAAACAGUUAAACCAUCAGUAAAUAAUUAACAUUUACAAUGCUGUCACAUAUUCAUAUUAGCAGGAGCUCUGUAAUAAUGCAUUGCCUCAUACUUAGUUAACGCGCUGUAUGAACACUAGGUAUCACAUUACAGUUAUAUGGGAUGUUACCUAGAGGAACUGCUACAGUGGUGUACCAAAGUCCCUGGCUUGAGCUGAAUAACCAGCCACUGUAAAUUGAUACUGUCUUAUCUGUAUCAGAGGAUUCUGUCUGGAGAUGUUAUGUAAAAGAAAAUGAUGACUUGUUACAUGAGGCACAUUAUGGGAAGCAUUCAGCCAUGCUGUGAGGCUUCUUCUCCUUCCAUUCCCAAUGCACAUUUUGGCCAUUUCAUUGUAUUUACUUGGCAUAUAACCAGUUCACUGGAAUUAGAUCGCAUUUACUGUGGUAUUUGGGAAGGCUGCCAGUUUGUGGAGGAGGCUUUGCACGAUGGUUUGUAAUGACUUGCCAUAUGCCCUAUCGCCUUGCAGUGCUCGAAAAGGAAGUAAAACUGAGAAUUACUGGUCCCCAGCCCUUGAUUUAAACUUCUCUAUCUUCAGGAAAAGGCAGUGCACUUUUCAACAUGACCACAAAGAGGAGUUGCCAUCUCUAGCCUUACUCAGCCUGAACGUGUGCUCCAUGAGAACAUCUGUCUCAUGAAGAUCUGCAAAACUCCAUUCGGAAUGGCUGAUGGAUGGCAUUUUUUCAACCAAAGUGUUUUUCAGAUGUGGUACAGUCCACAGGAAGCCUUUUGAAAUAGAAGAGGACUGUGGAGGCCAGCACAGCAUUAUGGUGUUGUGACUAAGGAGCUGUUUUGAAGAAUGAGAGAUAUUUCUUCUGAUAGAGCAAUAGAUGAUACUUAUCCUUCUCUUCUGUGGGAAAUCUGGUGGUUCCAAAUGGGACGAGGUAUGUCUGUGGGUCUCUGGGUUUCCCACUGGGAUGGCCAGGUGCUCCCAUCCCUGGGUGCCCUUCUCCACAUCAGCAGAGAAGAUCAACAGUGACGUCCGUGGGGAUUGCAUCUGCAGACCUCUCCAUUCCCAUGUCUGUAGAUUACUCAGAUAGGAUAAUGUGUUUAAAAAAGGAUUAUCUUGCUGGGUCUUGUUUGCCAAAUAUCAGCCUGGAGCCAGUUUUUACAGCUGAGUUACAAUGACCUGAUAGCAGCGUUUAUGAUAGAAAUUGUGCCAACUACUUGAUUCCAGCGGCGCGCUGGUCCUUUAGUCACUGGAAGACUUUGCUGUCAGAAUCACUUUUUAUUUUGCAGAUGGGAAUAUGUGUGGUGAAUAGUGCUUGGUGCCUCUCAGCACAGAGGCUCCAUGCUGGUUAGUGGUUAGCCAGCCUCACAGGCAGUGCCUGCAAGCAUCCCCACGCAGCGCUGCCAGGAACAACAGCGGCUGACGCUUGCACAGCACUUUUCCUCUUUGGGCUGAUCACGGGACACACUGCACAUGAGCUGUGGGUGCUGCAGAGCUGCCACUGUGGCUUUCUGGCAGCCCAGGGCAGGAGGGGUCAUGGUGGUAAGCAGGACAUGUGCUGCCCACCACUCCUGCAUGUGCCCUUGAGUAGGGGACACAGGCACCAUUGCUUCCUGGGGAUCGCUACCAAACUGCCUGUCUGAAGACUGGACUCCUUUACCCUAUGGACAGACAUAUCUUUAUAGGGAUAGUUUUAAUUCACCUGGUAUAGCACAACAGUUCCCUCAGCUCUUUUUACUACUUUUCAUGUCACUGGGGCAGAGAGUGGGAGUUUGUUCCUUUAAGGCGAAUAAUUUUUAAUUCUGAUCUGAUUCCCCACCCUUGAGGCACUUUUGGGUAAAGAAUACCAAAUAUGCAAAAUCAUAUCAUGUUUUUACGGUGGAGUUACUAAGCCUCAUUCACUCCUGUGUCCUCAUGCCAAAAAAAUUCUGAUGAGGCAACCCCACGACAGGGGGGUUUGCUCUGGUGGAGCUGCAGAACAACCAUUCUGUGGAUAUGCCCUUGGGAUACUGAAAAGCAACAGCCUUGUGUGUUGGUAUGGGCAAAGCUACCUAGAGUUUUGAUGAAAAGGAAAAUGUAUUUGCUGAGCCACCCUGAGUAACACUGAGCAACUUCUGCAGUACUGUGGUUGUUGUCACUGGUUGGGUUUGAGCAGCUCGUAGUCACGUAAAAGAACAUGAGAAAUGACAUUGUGAUCUGAGACCUCUGAGCUUAAGUUGGUGAUACAUUGCCUGCUUUUGGUUAAGCCCAGUAUGAAGGAAAUUGCUGCUGGUUGUGUUUCAUCAAUGCACUGACAAAAAGGGUUGCAUUUAUGUUUUCCAGAAAGUUGCUGAAUCACAUCACUGUGUAGAAUAUAUUCCUCAAAUUGUCUCUCUCCAAUUUCCAAAAAGGAAAAGGAGAAAAAAAAAAAAAAAAAAAAAAAAAAAAAAGAAGCAGAGCUGUAUCAAAAGAUGAAACAUUAUAGGGGUUAGUUAAGGAAAAGUAAUUCUAUCUUUUUAAAAAAAAUCUCAAGCUGCAAUGCCUAGGAACUGAGGGGCAGUGUUCCUUUUCUCUGUUACUGCUGCAUGACCUGUGCUUAACUAUAAGUAUUGCAGUCUUAAAGCCUGCUCUUGCUCCCCAGGAGACGAAUGCUACAGCAUUCUUAGACCUUAGUGUGUGGGGGGAAGAGCUCUCAGUAUAAUUUCAUGUAUAAAUAUUGUAUGCUCUGUGCCUGUUAAGUUUUUACAGAAAUGGAAGUUAGCUGGUGCACACUCUGGUGGCCAGUCCUUCUACAUGGAGAAUUCACAGGGAUGACACAGUAAAUUACACUUGCGGAUCUGCCAUGCAUUAUGCACCAUUUUCUCCUUUGCACAUUUGUUAUUUCUAAGAUGAGAAAGCAUAGGCCUCUCAGUUAAGCUUCUUACAAAUGUCUUUACUCCCAAACCUACAUCUUUCAGUUGCCAGCCUUUUGAUCUUAAAGGCUGAAUCUCCGUUUGUUUGGUAAGAUCCACUUUCUGUUAAUUUUUUCUGCUCACAGCUCCCUAUCUGUUUCAAAAACGAAACAAGAAGUCCCAUCAUUCUGUCUUUCCUUGGGCUAUAAAAACAAGGCAAGGUAAGGCUCUUGGCACAGGUUUGUAUUACGCUUAGCAGAGGCACCCUAGGCUGGGCCUUCUGGGCUGAACCAAUAACUACCAACUUUCUGUACCUAUAAUAAAUGUAUACAUGGGUUGAAGGUUUUUAUUUUUAUUUUUAUUUUUGUAUGUAUGUGUGUGUGAAUUAGAAUGGACGUAAUGUUUGAUUUGUUGAAAUUUGGACAUAUAAACAGUAAUCACAGUAUCACAGUAACUGAUAUUUUGGUGUUUUCUGUCUUCUGAAUGCAAUUUUAAUACUGAUCCUGCUUCUCUAAUGUUAUCUGUGACAUGCAGUUGUGCAUUUUCUAGUUAUUCUGAUUGUUCAGCAGGCAGCAUACUGCAUUCUUGCCUUCUAGCUAGUGCUGUAUUGCUUUGGCUGUAGGUGUCAGAAGAUGAAAUUCUGCUAAACUUUGAAGAAAGGAGGCUGAAGCAUUAGGACAUGCCAGCGACUACAGAAGAGAGAAAACAGUAAGUGAUUCUUGAUUUCUUGCAGGGCUCGGGUGUGAACUUGAACAUAGGGCAAGGAGGAAAGGAAGGGAGACGUAGCUGCAAUCCUCUUGCCCAGGCCUGGGCAGGUGGGUGCUGCUGCUGCUCCAUUCCUUUGCAGGGUAACCUGAUCAGGCCCUGGGAUUGCUCCCUAAGACAUGAUCGUCCUCCACCUUUGGCUGUCCUUCCCUCAGGGCUGUUCCUUAAGGCUGAAAACCCGUCACAGAGAAAAAGCAGGCGGCCUGCUCCCUCUAUAGGCUUUUCUGGUUGUUGCUGCCGGGAACUGGCUGCCUCAGACGAUGAGAGCUGCAUGCGUGUUUUGAAAGCUGACAAAAACUCUUACGUGAGGUGUAUUCUGCAUUUCUUUCACAUGUUUGCGUGUUUACAUGUGUAAAUGUGUAUAUGCACGUGGAUUCAUGUUUGUGUAUUUUUCAUGUUGUUUAAUGGCUGUACAUGUAGUCAUAUACAUGUAGCUACUUCCUCUGCUGAAGGAACAUGUAUGAAGCAGUUUUUACUGUUCAGUCUUGUUUCUUUUUGAACCAAUGCAUUAUCCUUUUUGUUUGUGAGCUAUCCGUUUGAUGACUGUGUAACCAUAACGCUCUUUCAAUUGCAUUCUACCUUUAUUAAGGGAAGAGAUGCUGUCUGAAGCAUGGCACACUUCCUCUCCAGCGCCUGCUCUCCUGACUGCACCAGCACCGCAGUUCUUGAUGCCAUUCUGAUAACAAAAGCAAUCUGGAUUCAGAGCAUCCUCUUCGUUGUGUGGAUCAGCCCAGGGAGCCGCCGUGCAGCCCCCUCCCAACAGAGCUGCGUGGAGGGAGGCAGGGUGGGAGGCAGGUGUCCUCAGGCAGCUAUUGAAGCUGGGUGCCCCUUGCUGCAAGCGCAGCUCCCUGCCUGCUGCUGGCGUGGGUAGCAGAGGGGAUUCCCCUGUGGUGUCUGAAACAGCGCUGCAGGGAAAGAUCCAACACAUCCGUGGGUUAUGUAUUAACAGUCAGUGAUGACCUUCUGCAGGGUGGGGGAGUAACUGUCUCACUGAAGCACUGGUAGAGAAGUGGCAGUUUUUCUGCUAUGCAGAGCACAGGUAUUAGCACCUAGCAGAAGGCUGUCAGGCAAUUUCCAUGCAGUGAUACUGUUAUCAAUUACUCCUUACUUUUAAAAAUGUGAAUAAAUUGUUCUGAAGUCUA